UACUGAAAACCUUUGGAAGGAAAGAUACUAGCCAUAGUAUCUUUACAUAUUAUCCAUCUUUUCGUCUUUUUGUAGUGAACACACACUGUUUCUGUAAUUUCAAAGCACACCAUCCUUUAAGAUGUUGUGUAGAACUCCUGUCUGCUGAUUGAAAAUCUACAACCAACCCUCAAGUAAUCAGUACCAUGUCAGCCUUCAGUCUCACAGAAACCAAUGGCUCCCAAAGUAGCCGGGCAACUGUGGCUGUUUCAAAUGAGAGCUGGUGAAAGCAAAGGCCUAUGGUGGCUUUGGUGUCAGGGACAGGCAUUUAGUUCCUGCCUCGGUCAGUUAACUUGGCUCAUUCACAGAGGGAAAUGGUAAAGGCACACUAUCUACCUGGCUCAUGGGGACAAACACUGUCAGACACUGUCUACCACAGACACAAACGUGUGGAAGGAAACAGGCAGUGGAGAUACAGCUCUGCUGAGCACACUGGGCAACCGCUCUUUCCAGGGGCCAGCAGGAGACCAGGUUUUACAAUGGUUGCUGUAAUGUUAUCAUCAGUAGCCAGAAGUGAAAGUGGAAAAGGCAGCUCCGUUUACAAUGAGGACUUCAAAUCACCAUUACAUACUCUGGAGCCAAUUUAGCAAGAAACAUUGAGAAAACUCCAAAACCAUAAUGACACCCUGGAGAAACUCAGACUAGAUGGACAGCAGACACGAUACAUGACUGAGAAGACUAAACAGCUUCAAAAGGCAUAGGAAUUCCUGAGAACUGCUGAAAUUCAGAAGAGAAUCCCUACUGCUUAGUGGUUACAGUAAAUUCUGUCUGAACAACCUAGAUACCCCUUCUCAGUGAAGCAUCAUUAUCUUACCUGCUGAGGGUGUUGGCAGCCAUUCUCAGUCCCAUGUCUUUCCAAGAUUUGCCCUCCACUGAAGAAAGCAGCCCUGCCCAAGGUUACAACCCUCUCCUCAACUUCCAAUGACUGGUCAAUGCCAGAUGAAAGGGUAUAAGGUCAGACUCUCCUGCCUCAUGAAGCAGCGCCCGAAAGAUAAUUCCCAUGGAACCCUCUUCUCCUGGGGUCACUACAGUGACUCUAUCACUGUUACAGUUGUUUUGGUGGUGAUGGUGUUUUUGCAUUUUGUUGUUAUUUUGUUUUGUCUUAGGUGUUGCUGAGAUAGGGUCCCACUAUGGCAUCCAAGCUUGCCUCAAACUCACUCUGGAACUAAGGCUGGCCUCAAAAUCAUAGUGAUCUUUCUGCCUCAGACUCCCACAAACAGAGAUGUCCAGUAUUUCCAUCACACCUAGCUCACAUCACUGUUGCAGAGUAUUUGAUCACAUUGUAACACCCCCACCACCAAGAUUGUAUACUGGAAAAACUGUUUCUAGUUGUGCUGUAGCUCAGCCUUAACACACAUUUUUAGAUCCAAGAACACUGAAGGAUAAUUGAUCACACUGUGAGAUUAUAUACUGAGAUUGUAUCUAGUUGGGGUGUGGCUCAUCCCUAGCACACACCUUUAAUCCAAGAGCUUUCUAUUUAUUGUAAAGAAGAUUAAAUAAAGUCAACAGUAGGUCAAGAGGUGGAGCAAGCAACCAGUUGACAGGGAGUGAACAUAGGAAAAAAACAUAGAGUGAAAAGAAGUCAGAAGGAUGGAUAGAGAGACACACAGGAAGUAGAAAGGAGGGACAUUCAGUUUGGAAGAGUUUAUAAGAUAGUGUGGAAUGUAAACGAGAGGUCACCAUUAAAUCUCUCCCCUCAGAGCUCGAAGAAUCCCAUAGAAGUGGAGGCAGAAAGAGUGUAAGGGUGAGAGGAUGGAGGGCACCAGGAAAAGAAAACCCUCAGAAGCAACUAAGAGAGGUAUGUAUGAGCUCACAGAGACUGAAGCAGCAAGCACAGGCCUGCGUGGGUCUGCACCAGGUCCUCUGUGUACAUACCACAACCUUUAGCUUAGUAUGUUUAUGGGACUGCUUGCUGGCUGUGAGAACAAGUGGCUCUCUGACUCUCAUGCCUGCUCUUGGGAUUCUUUUUCCUCCUGUUAAGUUGCAGUUUCUAACUUCAAUAUGAUACCUUUUGCUUCAUCUUAUUAGGUUUUAUUUUGCCAUGUUUGGCUGUUGUCUCUUAGCAGCCUGUUCUUUUCUAAUGAGAGAAGAAAGGGAGUGGAUCUGAAGGGGAGCAGAGGGGAGGUAGUGAGGAACUACACCUUACAGAAUCGUCAUCUUUUCUUCCCACUGGGAUUACAGCCCUGUUCUAUAGUCAAUUGCUUCCAAAUGAUUACACUUUCAAGUUCUUGAAGGAUAAAACUCUAAGUGGAAAUUCUUCCCUUCCUUUGCCUUCCUCUUUUCUUCCUUCCUCUCUUCGUUUCCCCUUCUUCCAGCAAACCUCUUGCCUGGCAACUCAGAGUCAUCUCUUAAGUGACGCUAGGUUCUACUUAUGUUUCCUUAGGGUUAUUAAAUACAAUUCUAGAAAUACAACCAUCUCUCUCCAAACUUCCCUAAGAGCAAACACUGGAAGCACAUGGCUGGUGUGCCUGUCUUGUGGCAAAUCCCACUGAAGCAACAAUAUGUUUGUUCUAACACUUAACAGAAUUCUUGUGUAAGGGUUCCACCAUAUUUUGUGUAGUAAAGUGGAGUAUGCUCAGCCACUAUGUAUCAAUGUCUAUGGCUCAAUCAGUCUUCAAAGACCAGCUGGACAGGAAGAAUGAGAAACACAACCCAGCCUCUCCAGUGGCUGCUUUAAGAUGCCAGACCUAACCAGUACCCCCAGAGCUCGUCUCUAACUGCAUAUGUAGCAGAGGAUGGCCUAGUUGGCCAUCAAUGGGAGGAGAGGCCUUUGGUCUUGCGAAGAUCAUAUGCCCCAAUACAGGGGAAUGCCAGGGCCAGGAAGCAGGAGUGGG
rnacentral:lncRNA from 1 species